rnacentral:rRNA from 1 species
AAAUUAAUAUAAUUGUUUAAAUUGUUGGUUAAUUUUGAAUAUUAAAUUAAAUAAAUUUAUGUUGAAGUAAGUUGAACUGAUAAAAUGGUUUUUACUAUAGUGAAUUAGUAUUGUGGAAGAAAUUUUAGGAUUGAUAUAAUUGGAUAAAAUUAAUUUAUUUUAUUGUAUCUUGUGUAUCAGAGUUUAUUGAAAUAAAUUAUAUAUUUUCUAUUCUUGAAUUUGAAAGAUUUAAUUAAAUAUUUUAAUUGUUGUGUUAUAAAUAUUAAAAUUUUUAAUUAGUAAUGAAAUGUUAGUCGUUUUUAAGGAUAUCUAGUUUUUUAAUAAAUGAAUUUAAUUCAAAGAAUUUAAUUUAUGAAAUAUUUAUAUAUUUAAAUAUAUUAUUUUCUUAACUUUAAGGGGGCAAAUCUCUUUAAAGUAUAAUUAUAAUAGAAGGUUUAAUAGGGAGUUAUAUGAAUUUAGAAUUUGUUAUUAGUUUAAGGAUGUUAAAMUUYAAUUCUUGAUUUAUUAAAAUUUAUAAUUGUUAUUUAAUUUAUAUAUUAAAAUAUUAAAUUUAAUUUGGAUAUUUUGGUAAAUAUGAUUUAAUUAGUAAUAUAGAAUUGAUGUAAUGUUAAUGUAAUUGAUAUGUUAAUUUAAGGAAUUAAGCAAAUGAUUUACUCACCUGUUUAUUUAAAACAUGGUUUCUUGAAUAAAAUAAGAAAUUUAACCUGCCCACUGAAUUUAUUUUAAAGGGCCGCAGUAUAUUGACUGUGCAAAGGUAGCAUAAUAAUUAGUCUUUUAAUUGAGGGCUGGUAUGAAUGGUUGGAUGAAGUAAGAACUGUUUUAUAGAAAUUAAAUUGAAUUUAGAUUUUAAGUAAAAAUACUUAAAUUGAAUUAAGGGACGAGAAGACCCUAUAGAGUUUAAUAUAUGAAAUAAUAAAUUAAGUUAAGAAUAAAUUUUUAAUUAUUAUAAAAUAUAUUUAAUUGGGGAGAUUGGAAGAUAAAAUAAACUUUUUUUUAAGUUAGAUUCAUUAAGAAAUUAUAAGAUCCAUUAUUAGUGAUUAAAAGGUUAAAUUACCUUAGGGAUAACAGCAUAAUUCUUUUUAAAAGUUCAUAUUGAAAAUAGAGUUUGUGACCUCGAUGUUGGAUUAAGAAGGGUAUUUAAUGUAGAUGUUAAAUUACUGAGUCUGUUCGACUUUUAAAAUCUUACAUGAUCUGAGUUUAAACCGGUGUAAGCCAGGUUGGUUUCUAUCUUUAAUUAAAUUAAAUAUUUUAGUACGAAAGGGCCAAAUAUUUAAAAUAAUUUUUAUUUGAAGAAUUAUAUUAAUUG